CCUACGGGUGGCAGCAGUCGAGAAUCAUUCACAAUGGGGGAAACCCUGAUGCUGCGACGCCGCGUGGGGGAAUGAAGGUCUUCGGAUUGUAAACCCCUGUCAUGUGGGAGCAAAUUAAAAAGAUAGUAACACAAGAGGAAGAGACGGCUAACUCUGUGCCAGCAGUCGCGGUAAUAGGGAGGUCUCAAGUGUUGUUCGGAACCACUGGGCGUAAAGCGUGCGUAGGCUGUUUCGUAAGUCGUGUGUGAAAGGCGCGGGCUCAACCCGCGGACGGCACAUGAGACUGCGAGACUAGAGUAAGGGAGGGGGAACCGGAAUUCUCGGUGUAGCAGUGAAAUGCGUAGAUAUCAAGAGGAACACUCGUGGCGAAGGCGAGUUCCUGGACAUUAACUGACGCUGAGGCACGAAGGCCAGGGGAGCGAAAGGGAUUAGAUACCCGGGUAGUC
rnacentral:rRNA from 1 species